AGUGAACGCUGGCGGUAGGCCUAACACAUGCAAGUCGAACGGCAGCACAGGAGAGCUUGCUCUCUGGGUGGCGAGUGGCGGACGGGUGAGGAAUACAUCGGAAUCUACUCUGUCGUGGGGGAUAACGUAGGGAAACUUACGCUAAUACCGCAUACGACCUACGGGUGAAAGCAGGGGACCUUCGGGCCUUGCGCGAUUGAAUGGGCCGAUGUCGGAUUAGCUAGUUGGCGGGGUAAAGGCCCACCAAGGCGACGAUCCGUAGCUGGUCUGAGAGGAUGCUCAGCCACACUGGAACUGGGACACGGUCCAGACUCCUACGGGAAGCAGCAGUGGGGAAUAUUGGACAAUGGGCGCAAGCCUGAUCCAGCCAUACCGCGUGGGUGAAGAAGGCCUUCGGGUUGUAAAGCCCUUUUGUUGGGAAAGAAAUCCAGCUGGCUAAUACCCGGUUGGGAUGACGGUACCCAAAGAAUAAGCACCGGCUAACUUCGUGCCAGCCGCCGCUGUAA
rnacentral:rRNA from 1 species